UACGAAGGGGGCUAGCGUUGCUCGGAAUCACUGGGCGUAAAGGGUGCGUAGGCGGGUCUUUUAAGUCAGGGGUGAAAUCCUGGAGCUCAACUCCAGAACUGCCUUUGAUACUGAGGAUCUUGAGUUCGGAAGAGGUGAGUGGAAUUGCGAGUGUAGAGGUGAAAUUCGUAGAUAUUCGCAGGAACACCAGUGGCGAAGGCGGCUCACUGGUCCGAUACUGACGCUGAGGUGCGAAAGCGUGGGGAGCAAACAGG
rnacentral:rRNA from 1 species